GGGGAUAUAGCUCAGCUGGGAGAGCGCCUGCAUGGCAUGCAGGAGGCCGUGGGUUCGAGUCCCAUUAUCUCCA
rnacentral:tRNA from 1 species